rnacentral:rRNA from 1 species
UACGAAGGGGGCUAGCGUUGUUCGGAGUUACUGGGCGUAAAGGGCGCGUAGGCGGCGCACCAAGUCAGGCGUGAAAGCCCUGGGCUCAACCCGGGAAUUGCGCUUGAGACUGGUGUGCUUGAGUACGGGAGAGGAUAGUGGAAUUCCCAGUGUAGAGGUGAAAUUCGUAGAUAUUGGGAAGAACACCGGUGGCGAAGGCGGCUAUCUGGACCGUAACCGACGCUGAGGCGCGAAAGCGUGGGGAGCAAACAGG